AACGAACGCUGGCGGCAUGCCUAACACAUGCAAGUCGAACGAAGCCUUCGGGCUUAGUGGCGCACGGGUGCGUAACACGUGGGAAUCUGCCCUUAGGUACGGAAUAACUCAGGGAAACUUGAGCUAAUACCGUAUGAUGUCUUCGGACCAUAGAUUUAUCGCCUAAGGAUGAGCCCGCGUCGGAUUAGCUAGUUGGUGGGGUAAAGGCCUACCAAGGCGACGAUCCGUAGCUGGUCUGAGAGGAUGAUCAGCACACACUGGGACUGAGACACGGCCCAGACUCCUACGGGAGGCAGCAGUGGGGAAUAUUGGACAAUGGGCGAAAGCCUGAUCCAGCAAUGCCGCGUGAGUGAAGAAGGCCUUCGGGUUGUAAAGCUCUUUUACCCGGGAAGAUAAUGACUGUACCGGGAGAAUAAGCCCCGGCUAACUCCGUGCCAGCAGCCGCGGUAA
rnacentral:rRNA from 1 species